UUGGAAAUGUUAAAGUUUUCCAUAGUUGUCUAUGUGUUAGUGUGAAUGUGUUUGUUUAUCCUUAUGUGUCCAGAGUGUGCCCUGCCUCUCACCCUAUGACUCCUGGAAUAGGCUCCAGCACCCCCAUGACCCUUGACUGGAGUAAGUGGGUGUAGAAAAUUAAUGAAUG